rnacentral:rRNA from 1 species
UCCGUAACCGAGCGCAACCCUUGUCCUUAGUUACCAGCACGUUAUGGUGGGCACUCUAAGGAGACUACCGGUGGACAAACCGGACGGAAGGUGGGGAGUGACGUCAAGUCAUCAUGGCCCUUACGGCCUGGGCUACACACGUGCUACAAUGGUCGGUACAAAGGGUUGCCAAGCCGCGAGGUGGAGCUUAAUCCCAUAAAACCGAUCGUAGUCCGGAUCGCAGUCUGCAACUCGACUGCGUGAAGUCGGAAUCGCUAGUAAUCGUGAAUCAGAAUGUCACGGUGAAUACGUUCCCGGGCCUU